AGUGUUUCCGCCCGGACCGGAAAAACAGAACACCGGAACUUCCGGUAGCGCCGUAAGAGGGAAAAUCAGGGAAUUCGAUGCACCUGUGCCUAGUUAGGGACAGCGGUUGGUGAUUGGAGGAUACGCUGGACAAGGCAGUACUUAAGGCCAAGUUAUUUCACAGUCUGGGAGCUCUUUCUGGCUGGAAUUGUAUGAUUGUGAAGACAUCGCGAACCUUAAAGGUUGAGAAGUGAACGGAUUAUACGGCGAAUUGAGACGACGUGAAAAAGGGGAUUGGAAGCGGCAUUGAUGUGAGUACUAAAAAGCAAGCCGAAAGUGCCCUGUAUAUUGACCUGGCGUUGUGUAGAUCUCCCCAGGAGGAGGAGGGCGGCCCUACCCCUAAUAUAGCGUGGUGGGAGAGCCGAAGGAAUACUUAUUGAAGUAGUCACAACGACGACAUCACUAGCUAGGCCGCAUAUUCCAUCGCCAGAUCCGAACCAAGCGAAGUGAAGGAAGACGGGUGUCCUUUUCGUACACUGAGUGUGGUGGGUGAGUCUUCGUGCUGUGAAAACCUAUAAUUUUGACGUGGUGCUGUAUAUUGCUGUGGGUUGCUGUGUAUUGCCGUGUGUCCUGUCAGAUAAACCCCCGCCUUCACGCACUCCGCCGCGGGAGGACAAGGAGACUGCUGGUUCUAGCCUAGUUCAGUACAGUAUAUGUUGUGAGCGUGCUUCAGAUCUCCGGAGAUAGCACGGUACGCUGUGUCCAGCCCAGAGGUGAGAGCCAUUCAAAGCAAACUAACUGUGCUAUUGUGCCCAAGUUGAUAUCUGUGGAGAGAAAAGGAGAGAGAGUGGGUAACACGAGGAGAGACCGAGGAAACCUGUACUUACGCCGCUGCCUGUGGAGAAAGAGAAAGCGAGUGAGCACCCAAGGAACGAACUGUGUGAACCAGUACUUACUGUGAGCUGAAAUCAGUGAAGAGGUGAGAGCAAAACCAAGCCGAAUUAACUGUGCCUUUGCGUCCCAGCCGUUGCCUGUGGAGGAAGAGAAAGAGAGUGAGCACCCCGAGAACGAACUGUGUGAACCAGUACUUACCGUGAGUUGUAUUCAGCGAAGAGGAGGAAGAAGGAGGGCGCUACGGAUACCUAAGACUCUGGCCUGGCCCCGAGCCCCACGCCCCGGAUCCCCGUGGCCCCCUUGCUCCCUGACCUCUUCCCGGCCAUAGCCCAUCUGGAGGACCGAGUCAGAGUUUAGUUUUAAUUGCCCUUUCCCUAUUCCCCAAGCUAUUUUUAAAUAUUUAAAUAAAGAUUGUUUUAUCACUUA